UGGGGAAUCUUGGGCAAUGGGGGGAACCCUGACCCAGCGACGCCGCGUGAGGGACGAAAUCCCUUGGGAUGUAAACCUCUGUUGUGCGGGACGAAGGACGUGACGGUACCGCACGAGGAAGCCCCGGCAAACUACGUGCCAGCAGCCGCGGUAAUACGUAGGGGGCGAGCGUUGUCCGGCAUUACUGGGCGUAAAGCGCACGCAGGCGGGCUGUUAAGUCGGCUGUGAAAAGCACGGGCUCAACCUGUGUCUGGCGGUCGAUACUGG
rnacentral:rRNA from 1 species